UGGAUCUUUAUUUCAGGAAUUCAGCAUCUUUUUAAAAAAACUUUUUGGUUGGAAUAUAGUUGACUCUUCUUCUUAACUAUAGAAACUGGUGGCCCCUAUAGAAGAGUUAAGAGUCUCUGAAGCCGGACGUCCAAUGUCGAGUUAACGAACUGAACAAAGGUCAUGUGGCUGAGCUUGAUGAGCGGGAAAGGAUUUCAUACAAUUCAGCUGCUACUUUAGAGUGGCCACCUGUUAAUAAGCAAAUCCCUUCAAACCCUGAAUUAAGCAGGUCCUAUUCUCUAUGUGUGUUUAGAUGAUUGUUCAAUCUAUCGAACUUCUGUGGAAACUAGAGAAAAUGGGUCAGACCGGAGCCUGGAUUUUGGACUGGUCAGGCCAUGCCUUCAUGCUAGCAUUGUUCAAAAUUUUGAUUUUGCUAGUCCCUGGCAUGGCCCCAUUAGCCUGGCUUCUUGGCUCCACCAUUUAUGAGCCAUUGCCAGAAAAUCAAUCUGGUCAUCAGCUGGAUUGAACAUGUGGCAUUAAUUUUUAAGGAACUCCUUGACCAACAGCAAAUACAAAGAAGGCAUUACAAGCAAUGACGUCCCUAUCAGCAAGUAGUAGAUGGCUAUGAAAUGACCUGUGUUUUCUUAUCUUUUGGUCCACUAGCUAGUUCAGUCUUGAACAUUGCUUUCACAUAUAUCAGCUGCUUUUACAUAUAACACUGCUUCUUGGAAGAUCCUACUUUGUUCUCUUAUUUGAAUUUUGUUCUUCCUAGAAAUCUUUACAUGCCUUUUUUAGCAUUAAUCUGCAAUAUCUUCCUGCAAGCUUAUGUUAUUUUUUUCUUCAAUGCAUAUGAUGUAGGGGAACUGAUAUGAGCAGUCCACAUGGCAUACAUGUUGGCCUGUUAGACCGUCUUGUGAUUAUACAGACCGAAACUUAUGGUCCAGCUGAUAUUAUACAGGAGUGCGAUGGAGAUACACACAGGGUAUUAGCAAACACUGUAGGCAAUUGAGUAGCCGGUAAUAACACAAGAUGAAUACUACCUCAAAUGCCUGCAUGGUUAAAGUUACACUUCAGAUGAUCAAUUCAAAUCUAAGAUCAUUUAAACGACAUCAUUUCAUUGAGCAAUGUGAGUAGUACAUGCGCAAAAAAGAUGGAGAAGGAGCCUAGCAGCAUACAUGCCAACAUGGUACACUUGUGGGAGAUUGAGUAAGAUGGCUGGUGAUUGGAUCGAAAGCCAGGCUGGUCAGCUUGUCAGGUGGGUGAUAAGCAUACAUUGAAUGUGAACCAAUAGUUAUUUUCCUUUCAAUUUUUUCAUUUUUCUAUUACUAUUGUGGUGCAACUGAUGUGUGGAACACUGAGUUUUGGAAUUUCAUAUCUUCAGAGGUAUGCCAUGUUUACAUAAUUUGAGGACCAGUGAGAUUUGUCUCAUGUGGGCCAUAUAUAUGCUAAUGUUGGCCAUAUGUUAUGGGACCUUCUAAAUGUAUGGUUUGGAUCAUCAUAUCAUGAAGUGAACGGGCAAGCUGAUUGGGCGAUCCUUGUAGGAAAAUCUCAUUUAGUACUAAACUGUUAGACACAUGCAAUGUAUACUCACACCCGGAUGCACUCACAUCUGCUGCCACAUAUCCAUGCAUGAUCAUCAUAUCAUGAGUUGUUAAGGACAACCUUAAUUAUGCAGCUAUGUUAGGUUAUUAGUAGCACUUUCACCAUGAUGAACAACCACCCUAACUGUUUUUCCU